rnacentral:rRNA from 1 species
GAUGAUCGCUGGCGGCGUGCCUAAUACAUGCAAGUCGAGCGAACAGAUAAGGAGCUUGCUCCUUUGACGUUAGCGGCGGACGGGUGAGUAACACGUGGGUAACCUACCUAUAAGACUGGAAUAACUCCGGGAAACCGGGGCUAAUGCCGGAUAACAUUUAGAACCGCAUGGUUCUAAAGUGAAAGAUGGUUUUGCUAUCACUUAUAGAUGGACCCGCGCCGUAUUAGCUAGUUGGUAAGGUAACGGCUUACCAAGGCAACGAUACGUAGCCGACCUGAGAGGGUGAUCGGCCACACUGGAACUGAGACACGGUCCAGACUCCUACGGGAGGCAGCAGUAGGGAAUCUUCCGCAAUGGGCGAAAGCCUGACGGAGCAACGCCGCGUGAGUGAUGAAGGUCUUCGGAUCGUAAAACUCUGUUAUUAGGGAAGAACAAAUGUGUAAGUAACUGUGCACGUCUUGACGGUACCUAAUCAGAAAGCCACGGCUAACUACGUG